rnacentral:ncRNA from 1 species
UAUUGACUUACCUUGUAUAUACUUCGUAAUAUGGUCGAAGAGUUUCUAGCCGUUCUCCGUAAACGAACGGGCUACAAGUAAACAAUUA